rnacentral:rRNA from 1 species
UACGUAGGGGGCAAGCGUUGUCCGGAAUCAUUGGGCGUAAAGAGCGUGUAGGCGGUCCGAUAAGUCCGCUCUGAAAGCCCGGGGCUCAACCCCGGGAGGCGGGCGGAUACUGUCGGGCUAGAGUCCGGAAGAGGCAAGUGGAAUUCCUGGUGUAGCGGUGAAAUGCGCAGAUAUCGGGAAGAACACCCGUGGCGAAGGCGGCUCUCUGGGACGGUACUGACGCUGAGGAGCGAAAGCGUGGGGAGCGAACAGG